rnacentral:rRNA from 1 species
GACGAACGCUGGCGGCGUGCCUAAUACAUGCAAGUAGAACGCAGUUGCGAACGGGUGAGUAACGCGUAGGUAAAUGCCUGGUAGAGGGGGCUAAAUACUGGAAACGAUAGCUAAUACCGCAUACUACCAGAUGGAACUGCGUUGUGUGAGUUAGUUGGGUAGGUAACGGCUCACCAAGGAAACGAUACAUACCCGACCUGUCAGGGUGUGCCGCCCCAACGGGACUGAGACACAGCCCAGACUCCUUCGGUAGGCAGCAGUAGGGAAUCUGCGUCAAAGGGGGGAACCCUGACCGAGCAACGCCGCGGGAUGGAAGAAGGUUUUCGGGUCGUUAAGCUCUGUUGUUAAGGGAGCGGUACUUAACCAGAAAGGGACGGCUAACUACGUGCCAGCAGCCGCGGUAAUAC